UACGUAGGGUGCGAGCGUUGUCCGGAAUUAUUGGGCGUAAAGGGCUCGUAGGCGGUUUGUCACGUCGGGAGUGAAAACUCGGGGCUUAACCCCGUGCCUGCUUCCGAUACGGGCAGACUAGAGGUAUGCAGGGGAGAACGGAAUUCCUGGUGUAGCGGUGAAAUGCGCAGAUAUCAGGAGGAACACCGGUGGCGAAGGCGGUUCUCUGGGCAUUACCUGACGCUGAGGAGCGAAAGUGUGGGGAGCGAACAGG
rnacentral:rRNA from 1 species